rnacentral:rRNA from 1 species
UACGUAGGGUGCGAGCGUUGUCCGGAAUUAUUGGGCGUAAAGGGCUCGUAGGCGGUUUGUCGCGUCGGGAGUGAAAACCCAGGGCUUAACCCUGGGCCUGCUUCCGAUACGGGCAGACUAGAGGUAUGCAGGGGAGAACGGAAUUCCUGGUGUAGCGGUGAAAUGCGCAGAUAUCAGGAGGAACACCGGUGGCGAAGGCGGGUCUCUGGACAGUUCCUGACACUGAGGCACGAAGGCCAGGGGAGCAAACGGG